GCUGUUGCUAUGUUGAAUAGGUACUAUAAAAGAGCAAGGACUGGAGGCAAACCUUGAUAUAAGUCAUAUAAGUUGGAAUAUAAGUGUAAGCGAUUCAGUUUACCGUUUAGUGAUAAACCAGAUAUAUCUUCCAGGACUUUUGAAUGUUAUUGAACCGCCAUGACACUUGAGCCUGAAUCUUGUUGAGUGUUUCGGAUUUUCCCGUCUGAAUCAAGUUGGAAACUCCAUGUUGCUUGUGUGAGACAAAUUUCAUCAUGCCAGUCACAACAUCUGGACCCAAAGAGACAGAGGAAGUUCAAGGAGAACUUGGGAGCACAAAGCAACAGGGUUUUUUCCUUCGUAGUUCAGGUUCCAGACUGAUCUAAAGUGGGAAAUAACAGAAACUUGUAAUGACCCAGAGCCAGACAAACCAUCUUCUCCCUCCUGCCGUAGAGGAACUUUUAGGCUGGUUCAUCGAAAGGUGACAUAAGAAGAUCUGGACCCCAGUGAGCCGCUCUGCUUCUUACGCUAAGGUCAUUUUCAGGUACUUUAAAAUUAACCUGCCAGGUGGUUCAGAAAAGGAGGUGCUUUAUCCUUCAAUUUUAGGCUUACCAG